GGGGACGCACUGGUUUCGACGGGGUUGUCGAAGUUGGAAUAGCGGGUAGAGGAUUCUCGUUGGCCUCUUUAAAAAACGGGAAAAACUUUUAAUUGCCAAUCAACAACCGGCAUUAGCAGC
rnacentral:tmRNA from 1 species